GCCGGGCAUGGUGGCGCACGCCUGUAAUCCCAGCUACUCAGGAGGCUGAGGCAGGAGAAUCACUUGAACCCGGGAGACGGAGUUUGCAGUGAGCCGAGAUUGCACCACUACACUCCAGUCUGGGCAACAAAGUGAGAUUCUGUCUCAA
rnacentral:SRP_RNA from 1 species